GUGGAUUAGAUACCCUAGUAGUCCUAGCCUUAAACGGUGCACGUUUGCUGUGAGAGGAAUCGACCCCUUUCGUGGCGUAGCUAACGCGAUAAACGUGCCGCCUGGGAAGUACGGCCGCAAGGUUAAAACUCAAAGAAAUUGACGGGGGCCUGCACAAGCGGUGGAGUAUGUGGCUCAAUUCGAUGCAACGCGAAGAACCUUACCUGGCCUUGACAUGCAAGUAGUAGAAGGAUGAAAGUCUGACGAUCCCGCAAGGGAAGCUUGCACAGGUGCUGCACGGCUGUCGCCAACU
rnacentral:rRNA from 1 species